CCUGCCGUUCUGCCCUCCUCGCGACGCCCUGGCGGUGCGCUGUGGCCGGGCCGGCCAUCCUCGACCGCCGUCCUCAGCCGUCGCCGUGGCCGGUGCUCGAGGACACCACAAUGCCGCCGUGCGGCCGCCGCCAAGGGCCGCAUGAAUGUCCGCGGCCUACGGCGACGAAGCUUGCAGUUGCCUGAGGUGCUCCCCUUCACGCCUCUUAGUCAUCUUCCACACGCUCAGACCGACAACCAAGCUCAAUUUGGGUAGAGCAUCACCUGAUUUGGACUUUGGAGCCACUUUUGAUCGAUUGAAUAAGCAAGUUGUUGGAUUAGAAGGUGCGGCAAGCUCCACUCAUGCAGCGGCGGCGCACGGCGAGGGUCCCUGCAGCCUCAAUCGCAGCAGCGGCGGUGAGAACGGCUUGCGGGCGAAGCAGGGGAUGGGAUCUGGUGGCUGCUGGAUGUAGGAGAUGAUGGGUGGGUCCCACGACCAGAGAGAUAGAGCAGGAGCUCGGCGUGGGCCCGUUUGGUGUUUUCUAGAAUUCUAGAAAAUUAACACUGAUCUCUAGUUACGGUGUUAAAUUAAAUCAGUUUACAAAAUCAA